UUUUAGGUGACAUUUAUAAACUGAUUGUUUCACAGAGAGUGAAUGGGUGCGGCCUCGGGGCACCCAGUUCUCAGAUCUGGCCCUGACUGCAAGCAACAUCAAACUGCAAAGAUUGAAGUCAGAAAAUGCCCUGAUAUACAGUUGAUGUCACCCAUCACCUGAGAGGUGAAGCAAAUCCAAUGCUUCAUAUUGUAUUCUGCAUAAUAACACAAGUGAUGUACUGUUAUUAGGCUGCUGCUCUAGAUAAUUACUUGUGGCACAGUGUUAUCACACAAGAAUGAGUUUUACUUCUCCAAGCAAAGUGCUGGAUUUUAUGAAGCAAAACUUUCCGUGGAUGAAAGGCAAAAAACGGCAGGAAAAGGAAAGUUGUAGUUACAGAUGUACAUCCCGUUAGCUCUGUAUAAACACUGUAUAGUAAAUAUGUGUUCUUAAUAAACUA